rfam:Ciona savignyi cont_37925, whole genome shotgun sequence.
GCUUAUCACCAUUCCAGAUUGAAUAUACCCGAUCUCGUCUGAUCUCGGAAGUCAAGCAAUCUAGGGCUUGGUUAGUACUUGGAUUGGGUGACCGCUUGGGAAUACCAAGUGUGAUAAGCA